CAAGUUCUGACAUUAACUCUGGAACUCCGUAGUGUUUGAAGAACAUGGGGAUUGCAGUGGAGGCAAGCUGACGCAUUUUUCAGGAUAAAGACUCAAAGAAAGAAAACAGCUUAGCAUACACCUGAAAUUUAUAACAGAAAUAUGCUCCAAAGUACAUUUGCAAGUGCUCUUUAGGCACUGGCUGGGCUUUUACAUCUUGAUUCAAAGACAAGAAAAUACAGCAUUUGGUAUCUCACUGGCUAAAUAACAUAAAACAGAUUCCAAAAUAUGCUUUCUUUAUAGAAAGUGCAG